rnacentral:rRNA from 1 species
UACGUAGGGUGCAAGCGUUGUCCGGAAUUAUUGGGCGUAAAGAGCUCGUAGGCGGUCUGUCACGUCGGCUGUGAAAACCCGGGGCUCAACCCCGGGCCUGCAGUCGAUACGGGCAGACUAGAGUGCGGUAGGGGAGACUGGAAUUCCUGGUGUAGCGGUGAAAUGCGCAGAUAUCAGGAGGAACACCGGUGGCGAAGGCGGCAUCCUGGACCGACACUGACGCUGAGGAGCGAAAGCCAGGGGAGCAAACGGG